GUCCACGCCCUAAACGAUGUCAACUAGGUGUUGGGAGCGCAAGUUCUCAGUACCGCAGCUAACGCGUGAAGUUGACCGCCUGGGGAGUACGGUCGCAAGAUUAAAACUCAAAGGAAUUGACGGGGACCCCGCACAAGCGGUGGAUGAUGUGGAUUAAUUCGAUGCAACGCGAACAACCUUACCUACCCUUGACAUGUCUGGAAGGCUGCUGAAAGGCGGCUGUGCCCGAAAGGGAACCGGAACACAGGUGCUGCAUGGCUGUCGU
rnacentral:rRNA from 1 species